rnacentral:rRNA from 1 species
UACGUAGGGGGCAAGCGUUGUCCGGAAUCAUUGGGCGUAAAGAGCGUGUAGGCGGUCCGGUAAGUCGGCUGUGAAAGUCCAGGGCUCAACCCUGGGAUGCCGGUCGAUACUGCCGGACUAGAGUUCGGAAGAGGCGAGUGGAAUUCCCGGAGUAGCGGUGAAAUGCGCAGAUAUCGGGAGGAACACCUAUGGCGAAGGCAGCUCGCUGGGACGUUACUGACGCUGAGACGCGAAAGCGUGGGGAGCAAACAGG